rnacentral:miRNA from 1 species
CAGAAUUCCCCCGUACCGAGCGG